ensembl:lncRNA TRAF3IP2-AS1 TRAF3IP2 antisense RNA 1
CAAGUUCGAAAUUUGCCCCUGAAUUAGGACCCUUGACACAUUUCUAACCCAUCCAAGUAGAGAUCGUUCUUUUACAUUUGUGUGUUAUACAGGUGCAUUUUAGUGGUUACCAGGUUGCCACGUAUUUGAAGUGGUGUGAGAGCUACUCGUUUGGAACCGUUGUGGAUUUUCAAAUAGGAAAAUCAAAAGGCCCAAAGAGACAGCUCACUGUAUUCCCACGAGCAUUCUGCUGAGAUGAACAAUCAGAUGACCUCGUGUGAGAUUUGGAGGAGAGAAGGAAAUGGAGAGCAUGCGUCUGCCGCUUCUGUGGUUUCUGUCGGUAAGCACAGUGAUGAGGUGCUGAGUUUUCCCCAGAAGGCCUCCCAGUGUCCUAUUACCAGCUUCACAAGCGUCGAGGGCAGGGCAUGGGCAUCUAUUGUUCACCAGUGGAGAUCUAUCU